UGGCGAACGGGUGAGUAACACGUGGGCAACCUGCCCAAAAGAGGGGGAUAACACUUGGAAACAGGUGCUAAUACCGCAUAACCAUAGUUACCGCAUGGUAACUAUGUAAAAGGUGGCUAUACUACCGCUUUUGGAUGGGCCCGCGGCGCAUUAGCUAGUUGGUAGGGUAAAGGCUUACCAAGGCAAUGAUGCGUAGCCGAAUUGAGAGGUUGAUCGGCCACAUUGGGACUGAGACACGGCCCAAACUCCUACGGGAGGCAGCAGUAGGGAAUCUUCCACAAUGGGCGAAAGCCUGAUGGAGCAACGCCGCGUGGGUGAAGAAGGUCUUCGGAUCGUAAAACCCUGUUGUUAGAGAAGAAAGUGCGUGAGAGUAACUGUUCACGUUUCGACGGUAUCUAACCAGAAAGCCACGGCUAACUACGUGCCAGCAGCCGCGGUAAUACGUAGGUGGCAAGCGUUAUCCGGAUUUAUUGGGCGUAAAGGGAACGCAGGCGGUCUUUUAAGUCUGAUGUGAAAGCCUUCGGCUUAACCGGAGUAGUGCAUUGGAAACUGGGAGACUUGAGUGCAGAAGAGGAGAGUGGAACUCCAUGUGUAGCGGUGAAAUGCGUAGAUAUAUGGAAGAACACCAGUGGCGAAAGCGGCUCUCUGGUCUGUAACUGACGCUGAGGUUCGAAAGCGUGGGUAGCAAACAGGAUUAGAUACCCUGGUAGUCCACGCCGUAAACGAUGAAUGCUAAGUGUUGGAGGGUUUCCGCCCUUCAGUGCUGCA
rnacentral:rRNA from 1 species